GGUCACAGUCACGCACUGAAGGCCGUGGGAGGGGAGCCUGGCACGGGCCUCCCGCAGGGCACUUGGGACUUUUGUAGCCCGUGUUUGGCGUCGCUGCGUUUUCGCAGAGCAGCGAGCCUGGCAGGACCCCGUGCCCACGGCCCCCAGAGCCCCUCCCCGUCUGCUCUGCCCGCCCCAGUCCCGCCGGAAACAAUGGCAGGGCCAGGAGCCAGCCGAGGGGAGGUGGGGGCGCGGGGCUGCGCGGGUUACACCGCCCCCGAGCUCCUGGGGGCGCUGUUCGCACAGACCAAGACGUGGACGUCGCCUGGGAGUCUUGCGCCACAGAGGCGUGGACUCCCUGUGACCGGCCCACGGGAAGCUGCACCUAGGACGGUCUGUCGGGGACCCAGACAGCAGCUCCUUUACCCAGAGGACACUUUUUCAGCGAACUCAACUGUGCCAAACACAACCGAACCUGGCCGGAGAGACCCAUGUCAAGUCCUGGUUAACUUGAAGUGUGUGGUUCAAGAAAGGAGAGGAAACCAGCAGCUGGUGCUGAAGGCUUUCCAGGAGAUCAGAUGGGUCCAAGGGAGGACGUCCCGGGGAAUUAGAGCAAGGCUCGUUGGAGGCAUGGAGAUAAUUAGGAAUCUUUGAGCAAAUAUGGGGAAUGAUUCAGUUGCAAGAUAAAAGAGUACCUUCAUUUUGGCAAGAUGAUUUAUGAGUAUUCUUGAUACUCACCUCUGCAGACAAGUUGGGGGGGA